rnacentral:rRNA from 1 species
GGGCAACCUGGCGACUAGUGGCGAACGGGUGAGUAAUAUAUCGGAACGUGCCCAGUACUGGGGGAUAGCCCGGCGAAAGCCGGAUUAAUACCGCAUGAGACCUGAGGGUGAAAGCGGGGGAUCGCAAGACCUCGCGCUAUUGGAGCGGCCGAUAUCAGAUUAACUAGUUGGUGGGGUAAAGGCCUACCAAGGCAACGAUCUGUAGUUGGUCUGACAGGACAACCAGCCACACUGGGACUGAGACACGGCCCAGACUCCUACGGGAGGCAGCAGUGGGGAAUUUUGGACAAUGGGCGCAAGCCUGAUCCAGCAAUGCCGCGUGCAGGAAGAAGGCCUUCGGGUUGUAAACUGCUUUUGUCAGGGAAGAAAUCCUCUGGGUUAAUACCUCGGGGGGAUGACGGUACCUGAAGAAUAAGCACCGGCUAACUACGUGCCAGCAGCCGCGGUAAUACGUAUGGUGCGAGCGUUAAUCGGAAUUACUGGGCGUAAAGCGUGCGCAGGCGGCUUUGCAAGACAGAUGUGAAAUCCCCGGGCUCAACCUGGGAACUGCAUUUGUGACUGCAAUGCUAGAGUACGGUAGAGGGGGAUGGAAUUCCGCGUGUAGCAGUGAAAUGCGUAGAUAUGCGGAGGAACACCAAUGGCGAAAGCAAUCCUCUGGACCUGUACUGACGCUCAUGCACGAAAGCGUGGGAGCAAACAGGAUUAGAUACCCUGGUAAUCCACGCCCUAAACGAUGUGAAAUGCUUGCUGCACGGCUAGCUGUUCAGUAACAAAGCUAACUCAUGAAGUUGACCGCCGGGGAGUACAGGCGCAAG